UGCCUUCAGUGUUGCCCGUUCAUCUUGACUGCAGGUGAAUGUGGUGUCUGAGAAGGCACAGAACAAGGUCCCCCUUGCAGCUUUUCCACAUGCUAGGAGUUGUUCCUACCAGGUCUGCUGCAUGUGGGACAAUA